rnacentral:tRNA from 1 species
CCGACCUUAGCUCAGUUGGUAGAGCGGAGGACUGUAGUGAGGAAAGCUGUAAUCCUUAGGUCGCUGGUUCGAAUCCGGCAGGUCGGA